rnacentral:siRNA from 1 species
UAGAUAGAGGGUUGCCAUGAU